rnacentral:rRNA from 1 species
GUCUACGGCCAUACUAUCCUGAGCCUGUCCAAUCUUGUCUGAUCUCGGAAGUUAAGCAUGGUAGGGCCUGGUUAGUACUUGGAUGGGAGAAGUAAACACUGCAACAUGUGGGAUCUCGUGCUCUACUUG